rnacentral:misc_RNA from 1 species
GGGGGGUCUGAAAGCUGAUUUGUUUGAUUGCUAAGAAACGAAUCGAAAACACCCAAUAGACAGUGAGACCAAAGCUAUAAUUUAGUAUAGAGUAUAAUAAUGAUCAACUGUUUGAUGAAUAUUCCCAAGUACUCUCUUUACUGCUACUUCAAUUCUUGUCACCUUUCUCAUUGAAAUGGAUGGAUUAUAUCUUUUACCCACCUCCAUUAUC